rnacentral:rRNA from 1 species
UAGCUAGUUGGUGAGGUAAAGGCUUACCAAGGCGACGAUCUGUAGCGGGUCUGAGAGGAUGAUCCGCCACACUGGAACUGAGACACGGUCCAGACUCUUACGGGAGGCAGCAGUGGGGAAUUUUGGACAAUGGGGGCAACCCUGAUCCAGCCAUGCCGCGUGAGUGAAGGAGGCCCUCGGGUUGUAAAGCUCUUUCGGCCGGGAAGAAAUCGCAUGGGCCAAUACCCUGUGUGGAUGACGGUACCGGAAUAAGAAGCACCGGCUAACUACGUGCCAGCAGCCGCGGUAAUACGUAGGGUGCGAGCGUUAAUCGGAAUUACUGGGCGUAAAGCGUGCGCAGGCGGUUUUGUAAGACAGGCGUGAAAUCCCCGGGCUUAACCUGGGAACUGCGUUUGUGACUGCAAGGCUAGAGUACGGCAGAGGGGGGUGGAAUUCCACGUGUAGCAGUGAAAUGCGUAGAGAUGUGGAGGAACACCAAUGGCGAAGGCAGCCCCCUGGGUCGAUACUGACGCUCAUGCACGAAAGCGUGGGUAGCAAACAGGAUUAGAUACCCUGGUAGUCCACGCCCUAAACUAUGUCAACUAGGUGUUGGGUGGGUAAAACCAUUUAGUACCGUAGCUAACGCGUGAAGUUGACCGCCUGGGGAGUACGGCCGCAAGGUUAAAACUCAAAGGAAUUGACGGGGACCCGCACAAGCGGUGGAUGAUGUGGAUUAAUUCGAUGCAACGCGAAAAACCUUACCUACCCUUGACAUGCCAGGAACUUGCCAGAGAUGGCUUGGUGCCCGAAAGGGAGCCUGGACACAGGUGCUGCAUGGCUGUCGUCAGCUCGUGUCGUGAGAUGUUGGGUUAAGUCCCGCAACGAGCGCAACCCUUGUCGUUAAUUGCCAUCAUUUAGUUGGGCACUUUAACGAGACUGCCGGUGACAAACCGGAGGAAGGUGGGGAUGACGUCAAGUCCUCAUGGCCCUUAUGGGUAGGGCUUCACACGUCAUACAAUGGUCGGUACAAAGGGUUGCCAAGCCGCGAGGCGGAGCCAAUCCCAGAAAGCCGAUCGUAGUCCGGAUUGCAGGCUGCAACUCGCCUGCAUGAAGUCGGAAUCGCUAGUAAUCGUGGAUCAGCAUGUCACGGUGAAUACGUUCCCGGGUCUUGUACACACCGCCCGUCACACCAUGGGAGCGGGUUCCGCCAGAAGUAGGUAGCCUAACCGCAAGGGGGGCGCUUACCACGGCGGGGUUCGUGACUGGGGUGAAGUCGUAACAAGGUAGCCGUAGGGGAACCUGCGGCUG